rnacentral:rRNA from 1 species
AGGGUGAGUCGACCCCUAAGGCGAGGCCGAAAGGCGUAGUCGAUGGGAAACGGGUUAAUAUUCCCGUACUUGGUGUUACUGCGAAGGGGGGACGGAGAAGGCUAUGUUGGCCGGGCGACGGUUGUCCCGGUUUAAGCGUGUAGGUGUGUGUUCCAGGUAAAUCCGGUUCACUUUAACACUGAGGCGUGACGACGAGGCACUACGGUGCUGAAGCAACAAAUGCCCUGCUUCCAGGAAAAGCCUCUAAGCAUCAGGUAACAUCAAAUCGUACCCCAAACCGACACAGGUGGUCAGGUAGAGAAUACCAAGGCGCUUGAGAGAACUCGGGUGAAGGAACUAGGCAAAAUGGUGCCGUAACUUCGGGAGAAGGCACGCUGACACGUAGGUGAAGUGAUUUACUCAUGGAGCUGAAGUCAGUCGAAGAUACCAGCUGGCUGCAACUGUUUAUUAAAAACACAGCACUGUGCAAACACGAAAGUGGACGUAUACGGUGUGACGCCUGCCCGGUGCCGGAAGGUUAAUUGAUGGGGUCAGCGCAAGCGAAGCUCCUGAUCGAAGCCCCGGUAAACGGCGGCCGUAACUAUAACGGUCCUAAGGUAGCGAAAUUCCUUGUCGGGUAAGUUCCGACCUGCACGAAUGGCGUAAUGAUGGCCAGGCUGUCUCCACCCGAGACUCAGUGAAAUUGAACUCGCUGUGAAGAUGCAGUGUACCCGCGGCAAGACGGAAAGACCCCGUGAACCUUUACUAUAGCUUGACACUGAACAUUGAGCCUUGAUGUGUAGGAUAGGUGGGAGGCUUUGAAGUGUGGACGCCAGUCUGCAUGGAGCCGACCUUGAAAUACCACCCUUUAAUGUUUGAUGUUCUAACGUGGACCCGUUACCCGGGUUGCGGACAGUGUCUGGUGGGUAGUUUGACUGGGGCGGUCUCCUCCUAAAGAGUAACGGAGGAGCACGAAGGUUGGCUAAUCCUGGUCGGACAUCAGGAGGUUAGUGCAAUGGCAUAAGCCAGCUUGACUGCGAGCGUGACGGCGCGAGCAGGUGCGAAAGCAGGUCAUAGUGAUCCGGUGGUUCUGAAUGGAAGGGCCAUCGCUCAACGGAUAAAAGGUACUCCGGGGAUAACAGGCUGAUACCGCCCAAGAGUUCAUAUCGACGGCGGUGUUUGGCACCUCGAUGUCGGCUCAUCACAUCCUGGGGCUGAAGUAGGUCCCAAGGGUAUGGCUGUUCGCCAUUUAAAGUGGUACGCGAGCUGGGUUUAGAACGUCGUGAGACAGUUCGGUCCCUAUCUGCCGUGGGCGCUGGAGAACUGAGGGGGGCUGCUCCUAGUACGAGAGGACCGGAGUGGACGCAUCACUGGUGUUCGGGUUGUCAUGCCAAUGGCACUGCCCGGUAGCUAAAUGCGGAAGAGAUAAGUGCUGAAAGCAUCUAAGCACGAAACUUGCCCCGAGAUGAGUUCUCCCUGAGACUUAAAGUCUCCUGAAGGAACGUUGAAGACGACGACGUUGAUAGGCCGGGUGUGUAAGCGCAGCGAUGCGUUGAGCUAACCGGU